UGCAGUAAGUGCCUUCCGUGGACAUAUUCUUCUUUUCCUAGGACAGUGCCUAUGCUUUGAUUUACAGAAUAAAUGUCUUAGUGAGUGAAUGGGUGGUGGGACAACUGAGUGAACAUGCUUGCUGAGGUUGUGUUUUUUUUUCCUAUAGAAAGACUUAAUAAUUCCAGGACAUACAACUGCCAUCAUUCACAGUGCACCAGAAGAGCAACCCAAUAACGACAGAAUAACUCGUGUUCAUGGAGUCCAUGAAGAUAACAAAUGUGGCAGGAACGUCAGCUGUAGCGGGCAAGAAGAGUAAAAAAUGUUUUUUCAUCACUCAAGUUGCUCCACAACAGCCAAUUAAUAAACAUGGGAUGGACUCUGAUCACACAUUGGACAAAGAUAACAAACGUAGUAAGGAGUCUACCUCCCAAAGAGAUCCUGAAGACAACAACUCACCAAGGAAUUCGAAGGCAGGAACGUCAGCUGUAGCGGGUAAGAAGAGUAAAAAAUGUUUUUUCAUCACUCAAGUUGAUCCACACCAGCUAAUUAUGAACUCUGAUCACGGAUUGGACAGAGAUAACAAACGUAGUAAGGAGUCUACCUCCCAAAGUGAUCCUGAAGACAACAACUCACCAAGGAAUUCGAAGGCAGGAACGUCAGCUGUAGUGGGUAAGAAGAGUAAAAAACGUUUUUUCAUCGCUCAAGUUGCUCCACAACAGCCAAUUAUGAACUCUGAUCACGGAUUGGACAAAGAUAACAAACGUAGUAAGGAGUCUACCUCCCAAAGAGAUCCUGAAGACAACAACUCACCAAGGAAUUCGAAGGAAGGAAUGUCAACCUUAGCGAGUAAGAAGGGCUUAAAAGAUAUCGCCAUCACUCAAGUUGCUCCACAACAGCCAAUUAAUGAAUAUGCGUUCAACUAUGAUCGUGGAUUGGACAAUGGUAAGGAGUCUACCUCCCAAAGAGAUCCUGAAGACAACAACUCACCAAGGAAUUCGAAGGCAGGAACGUCAGCUGUAGCGGGUAAGAAGAGUAAAAAACGUUUUUUCAUCGCUCAAGUUGCUCCACAACAGCCAAUUAUGAACUCUGAUCACGGAUUGGACAAAGAUAACAAGCGUAGUAAGGAGUCUACCUCCCAAAGAGAUCCUGAAGACAGCAACUCACCAAGGAAUUCGAAGACUAUUUCUACAAAUUCUUGGAAGAAAUCCAUUAAUCAAUCAAUGGCAGCCGAUGCAAAAAGAAAAGAUAUGAAUGAACCACUGGAAGAGUUUGCUAAGGGAUCCACUGAGUUGACGCCUCGUCUGGAAGCAAUACAUCCUUUUUGGACAACAUCAGUGGGAAUGAAUGAAGUACAAACAUGCAGACAAGAUAAUGACAUUAAAACAACAAACAAGGAAGAACAAGAAUGGCUUGAUGGAAGUAAAAAUAAGCAAUUUGAAGAAAAAGGGCAGCGUUGCCAAAGUAAGGAAAUGGAAGUGUUAAGAAACUUGCAUGAAAGUGCUGCUCCUCCUGAUGACAGUGAUGGUUGUGGACUGAAUCAGCAGAGACAGAGUGGGGACCUUGAUAACCAGCAAUCUGCCACUAAGAAGAAUGAAGAAUAUUAUUUCUGCCCUGCCUUGCAUAUAAAGGAAACAAAAAAUGAAAAUGAAAAAGUGACUUCCAUGGAGUAUGGGAUUAGACCAGUGAUAGAGAAUGGCUUUUCACUCACUAGAAGUCUACUGCAAGUGAUUUAUGACAACAAUCUGAGUGAGCUCGAUCGUCUUAAAAGGGAACAGUUAAGAAGAAAAGAAAAGCAAUAUCAUAAAGAAGUAGAAGUGAAACAACUUGAAGUGACACAUAGAACACUAGAAUUGGAUGCGAGGACUUCAAAAAACAAUUUGACCCAGGUAAGUUAAUCUUUGAUAAAAUUUUUAUGUUUCUGACUUGAAUCACUGUUACAUAUAAUGUCCUCCUCAUUCAAGAUAUAUACAUAAAUAUAUAUAUACACACACACGCAUAUACUAAACAGGUGUGUAUGCACACAGACACACACACAGAUGUGUAAUCUUUAUUUAAAGUAACCCAAAAAUUAUUCUGAAGAUGAAUUAUGACAUAUACUGCUGGAGUUAUUGCUUGUGAGUCUUGGUACAUGAUGGUGCUUAGUACAUAUUUUCUAAAUAAAGCAGUGCAUAUUGAGUUGAAUUUAAUAACU
ensembl:lncRNA